rnacentral:rRNA from 1 species
GAUGAACGCUGGCGGCGUGCCUAAUACAUGCAAGUCGAGCGAACGGACGAGAAGCUUGCUUCUCUGAUGUUAGCGGCGGACGGGUGAGUAACACGUGGAUAACCUACCUAUAAGACUGGGAUAACUUCGGGAAACCGGAGCUAAUACCGGAUAAUAUUUUGAACCGCAUGGUUCAAAAGUGAAAGACGGUCUUUCUGUCACUUAUAGAUGGAUCCUCGCUGCAUUAGCUAGUUGGUAAGGUAACGGCUUACCAAGGCAACGAUGCAUAGCCGACCUGAGAGGGUGAUCGGCCACACUGGAACUGAGACACGGUCCAGACUCCUACGGGAGGCAGCAGUAGGGAAUCUUCCGCAAUGGGCGAAAGCCUGACGGAGCAACGCCGCGUGAGUGAUGAAGGUCUUCGGAUCGUAAAACUCUGUUAUUAGGGAAGAACAUAUGUGUAAGUAACUGUGCACAUCUUGACGGUACCUAAUCAGAAAGCCACGGCUAACUACGUG